GAACAAAAAUGUUAUGCUGAAAAAAUCGCACAUUCGUUCAGUUUGACAUCGUCGUUUGCGGAUAACACACUCUUGAAGACCCGGAACGAUCAGUAGUCUUUUUUAUUCGCAAUCAUAACCAGAAAUGUAACAGCCCAACGAAAAAAGUGUUUGUGCAAAAUUAAAGAAAUAUUAUUUCGUUCGAUAGCUUACCGAUUCGUUUGUAUUUGUCCAUCAGGCGAAAACAUUUUCAGUAAAAAAAAACUUCUGAUUUUCGUUACGGCCUCUCAUUAUUCUCAUUCGGUGUCAAUUUUCUAUGCAAAAAGUGUGUUGUGAAAAGUGUGUUCUCAGCAGAAGAAGAAGAAAAACAGUAGAUUAAAACAACAUUUUUUGUUUACAAUUCAAUAGACCGACUCGCUAAUUAUUCACUGUUUUGUAUGACAUUUUAAUAAAUAACCCCAGCGCGUCGCUAAAUAAUUAAACUUUCGUUGCCUACAUCCUAAAUAAGAUUUUCACGCUAAACAAAAAGGAAGACAACAAAAUUGCCUACCGACUUUUCACUGUGCAUUUUGUUCAAUCGUUUUGUAAUUUCAAAAAAAAAUUCAUCAUGAAAAUGAAAGUGGUUCAUCGGUGUAGAGUGUAGUUAAUAUGAAAAAUAUAUGCUAAAAUUCACAUACUAUAUCCAUAACAUCGAACCAUCAUCGCAGCCUCACGUCGAACAUUACGAGCAUUGAAUUGUUUCAAAUUCCUCUUUUCGUCGCGGUUUUUCUUUAAAGAUUGAAUCCUAACCAAACAUGACAAAGAAAUUUGAAUUCAAUUGGCAAAUUCCGGUGCCGGAAGUCCUUCUAAAUGGUGGAGUGUUUGAUCGAUGGACGGAGGAAAAAGAUAAUACCGAUUUGGAAUUAGCCUGUACAUUUAAAGUCGACGAAUAUGGAUUUUUUAUUUAUUGGAAAAGCGAAGGAAAAGAAGGUGAUGUUGUAGAACUAUGUCAAGUUAGUGAUAUUCGUGCCGGUGGAUUGCCUAAGGACCAGAAAUUAACUGACAAACUGUUCAAUCGUCAUGGCGACACGCUAGAUGAAAAAUCACUUACCAUAUGUUCGGGAACCGAUUAUAUCAACAUAAAUUACCAACACAUUGUGUGCCCAGAUGCAGCGACGGCAAAGCUGUGGGUAGAUGGCCUUAGGAAAAUUACCCAUAAUGUGAAAGCAAAUAAUGUCUGCCCUAUGACAUGUCUGAAAAAGCAUUGGAUGAGGCUUGGUUUUCUAGUAGAUGCAAAGGGGAAAGUACCAGUAAAGGUUGUAGCACGAACAUUUGCAUCAGGUAAAACAGAAAAAAUGGUCUACCAAUGCUUGUCGGAGCUGCAACUUCCGAGCGGUAAAAAUGAGACGAUGGAAAAGGAGGCAUUCACAUUUGACAAAUUUUAUGCUUUGUAUCACAAAAUUUGUCCACGCAACGAUAUAGAGGAACUAUUCCGAUCAAUAACUCAAGGAAAAGCUGACCAAAUCAAUGUGGAUCAGUUCAUUAACUUUUUGAAUGAAAAACAGCGUGAUCCACGCCUGAACGAAAUUCUCUAUCCUCUAUACGACGAGAAACGAGCCGUUGAGAUUAUCGACACAUAUGAACAGGAUGAAGAGGCCAGAACUAAAAAAAAAUUGAGCAAGGAUGGAUUCGUCAGGUACUUAAUGUCUGAUGAAAAUGCUCCGGUGUUCUUGGAUCGAUUAGAUCAAUACAUGGAUAUGGAUCAGCCCCUAUCUCAUUAUUACAUCAACUCUUCACACAACACGUAUUUGUCUGGUCGUCAAUUCGGUGGCAAAAGUUCGGUGGAAAUGUACAGACAAACUUUGCUUGCCGGUUGCAGAUGCGUUGAACUGGAUUGUUGGGAUGGUAAAGGAGAAGACGAAGAACCAAUUAUAACCCAUGGAAUGGCGAUGUGUACGGAUAUUCUAUUUAAAGAUGUGAUAUAUGCAAUACGUGACUGUGCUUUUGUAACGUCCGACUGUCCAAUUAUACUUUCGUUUGAAAAUCAUUGUUGUCGUAUCCAACAACAUAAAUUAGCUAAAUACUGUGAUGAAAUUUUCGGUGAUCUAUUGCUAAAGGAAUCGUUGCCAGAAUAUCCGCUUGAGCCCGGUGUCCCGUUACCACCGCCGUCGAUGUUAAAGAAAAAGAUUUUAAUCAAAAAUAAGCGCCUUAAACCGGAUGUGGAGAAAAUCGAGUUGGAACUCUUUCAACAGGGACAAUUUGUGCUGGACGAUGCUGAUGAGCCGAAAGAGGAUGCCAGUGCAGCACCACCACCAGAUAAAGCUGCUAUAGCUGAAGCACCGGAAGCGGCUCCUGGGGCCGGAGCAGAAGGCGAAGGUGCCGAAGUACCAAUUAAUUAUACAGGGUCAACUACGAAUGUGCAUCCUUGGUUGUCGUCAAUGAUCAACUAUGCACAGCCUAUCAAAUUUCAGGGUUUUGAUGUUGCUGAAAAAAAAAACAUUCACCACAACAUGUCUUCAUUUGCCGAAACAACCGGAAUGAAUUACUUGAAGCAACAGUCGAUUGAUUUCGUCAAUUAUAACAAACGUCAAAUGUCUCGAAUUUAUCCGAAAGGAACACGGGCCGAUUCUUCGAACUACAUGCCGCAAGUGUUCUGGAAUGCUGGCUGCCAAAUGGUUUCGUUGAAUUUCCAAACCUCUGAUCUUCCCAUGCAAUUGAAUCAAGGAAAAUUCGAGUAUAACGGCAACUGUGGCUAUCUUCUCAAACCAGAUUUCAUGCGACGUUCCGACAAAGACUUCGAUCCAUUCGCCGAUGCACCAGUCGAUGGUGUCAUUGCUGCUCAAUGUGGCGUGCAAGUGAUUGCCGGACAAUUUUUGUCUGAUAAGAAAGUGGGCACGUACGUGGAAGUUGAUAUGUUGGGUCUGCCAUCGGAUACCGUACGAAAGGAAUUUCGUACACGAAUGGUACCAGCUAACGGUUUGAAUCCGGUGUACAAUGAGGAUGUAUUUCUGUUCAGAAAAGUUGUGUUGCCCGAUCUGGCCGUGCUGCGUUUCGGUGUGUACGACGAAAAUGGAAAACUGUUGGGACAGCGAAUUUUACCGUUGGACGGUCUACAGGCAGGAUAUCGACACAUCUCAUUGCGCACUGAAGCCAAUUUUCCGAUGUCAUUGCCAAUGUUGUUUUGUAACAUUGAGCUGAAAAUCUACGUACCAGAUGGAUUCGAAGAUUUUAUGGCUGCGCUGUCCGAUCCACGUGGUUUUAUGGGGGCUGCAAAGGAACGGCAAGACAAUAUGAAAGCUUUAGGCAUUGAGGAGACUGCUUCUGGUGCAGCCAGCGAUGCUAUUAAAGGUGACAAGAAAGAAGAGAAGAAAGUGGAAGAACCACCAUUGGUCUUCGAACCGAUAACGUUGGACUCGUUGCGACAGGAGAAAGGUUUCCAGAAAACCGCCAAGAAACAGCAAAAAGAACUGGACACAAUGAAGAAGAAACAUGCCAAAGAAAGAGCCGCCAUGCAAAAAGUUCAAAAUGCUGCCGUAGAGAAGCUAAUCAAAGGCAAGAGUAAGGAUGAAAUCAAAGCCGACCAAAAUAUUCGCAAAAUUAUCACCGACCAGACAGCCCAGUGGAGUGAGCUCAUCGAAAAGCAUAAGAAAGAGGAAUGGGAACUGCUGAAGGUCCAGUUGAACGAUCAGCAGGAAAUUAUCAAGAAAUUGAUGGAACAAACGCAGGCUAGCCAAAUGAAACAGAUGGAGGCUAAGCAUGAACGCGAAACGAAAGCUUUGAAUUCGCAACAGGCAAAAAUUUCGGUUGAAACUGCGAAAGAGGUGACGAAUGAUAAGGCGUUGAAGACGAAAGGUGAAAAAGACCGACGAUUACGAGAGAAGAAACAGAAUAACAUUAAGCGAUUCAUGGAAGAGAAAAAGAAUGCCGGUAUCAAACAAGGACGUGAAAAGGAGAAAUUGAAAGUUUCCCAUGACAAGCAAACCGAGGAACUGCUAAAAGACAUUCAAAAGGUACUUCGCGCUCCUCCCCAUCCUGCCAGUACACAAAUUACCAGUAUCGAAACUGUCCUGUAGUGAACGAAAAACGAUGAAGUAGAAAGCGUUGAUUCCUGUUUUGUUAUUACAAUUUUAUUUUGUUCGUUUGUUAUAUGAUUUCACCUUCCUGUAUAUCCAAGUUCAACAACGCACAUGACUGAUUUAUUUGUAGCCUUCGUAGAUGUGGUUAUUUGUUGAUUUGUUUUACUAUUAUCGAUUGAAAUCUUCACGAAAUGUACAAAGUGGAAGAAGAAGAAUACAAUAUGUCAGCAAAGUUGGAGUUCUAUGCCUGAAAUGGAUAUUUCUCUAACUAAUUGAAAAUGAAAACAUUAUAAUGAACGUAGGUUACGGAAAAGUAUAGUUAUAUUAUGUAUAGUGACAUCAUUUUCUAAUUUUAUGUAUAAUCUCAUUACAUCCAAAAAUUAUUCAUUUUAAAUAUUAAAAAAAAAAAACAAAAACUGAAAAUAUAAAAUUUGUGGAAAAAAAACUAAUUUAAUUUCCUAGUCGUAAGAGUGAACGUUUAAGUUUAAGAAAUGAAAAAAAAUGUAAAAUUAAUUUUUAAAUUAAAAAACAAAACUCUGUUGUCGUCCUAUUCAGUGAUAUUAUUUAGGUUUUUCGUUCGAAACAUUUUCUUCAUUUGAAAGCCAUUUAAUGCGCCAUGCAACACUCUGUACGAAACAUGUUUCCUAGUAUUCACCUUGCGCCGUCAUAGCGCUAAAAAUAAUUUAAAUUAUGAAGAGAUCAUACUUACGCACAUAUCAAUGCGAAAGAGACCUAAUUCCAAUUUUUCUUUUGUUAUACUGUCAAAUUGACAGGUGAACAAAAGAGAAAUUUGAAUUGGGUCUUUUUCGCGUUGCUAUUUGUAGGUAUCAGUCAUUAUUAUCGAUAUUAUCACUAUUUAAGAGCAUUAGGAAUGAACAUAUUUUCUGCGCUCAUUUAUUCAUCUGCUCAUUCACUCAAAAUUCAAAUUCUGAAGCGCACUUACUACGGCGUGGAUUGACCUAUAUCAUUGGUCGUAGUUGUUAAUAAUUAGUAAUAAUUAGUACACCACGAAUGUAAUAGCUUUAAAUAAAAAUUAGUUUUGGUUGUAUGUAGUCGCUUGACCAGCUGACCUCUGAGAAAACUGAACAGUUUAUGAAAAUAUCGUUAAACUGCUCUAAGAGCUAAGAGCUAAUACAUUCGUGGUCGUUAAAUAUUGCGGUCAGAAAAAAAUGCUUUAAAAGGGAUUCUGAUGAAAAGAUAUCAUCAAAAAUGAAAAACGAGAAUCGCAAAUGUAGGCUACAAUUGUAGCUGAGUAUCGAUGUCUCUUAAACGGAUUUAAAUACCAUUUCCAUGUCUCUGUACAGUGUACAUUGUUCGUUCCCCCGUAUAAACAAUCAUUAGCACAUUAUUAAUUGUAUGAUGAAAAACGGCUGAAAAACGGCUGAAAAACAGCUGAAACAAAAUGCAUCGCUUAUUUGAAAGUCGACGACUGUAAGUAUCGAUCGUGCAAAAAUGGUGACUUGUCAAUAGAUUUUUUUUCUUCAAAUCAUUUCGACACUAAUCUACAAAUUGAUCAAAAUGGUGAAUUGCUAGAUUCUCGACAGAAUAUAUGCAUAAUUCUACUAACCAAAUCGUGGUGAAAAUGCCGUAGAGUCUGUGGAUCAUGGAAACGUGUGUUAUUACAAGAGAAUGCAUGAAAAACUUGUUCCUACGCUGUCCCACUUUAUAUAUAUUUUAUGCUAAAACCAUUUUAAAAAAAAUAUAUUUAAAUUAAG